rnacentral:lncRNA from 13 species
UGUAAGGAAAAGCAUUAUUGCCAAUAAUGGUGGCUCCGUGGUCAUCUGAGUAUAGUCUGCAAGUGGUUCAUGGGCUUGUGCUCAUCCUCAUACUCUGGUUUGAAUGAUUGUCCCCUCCAAAACUUACUUUGAAAUUAAUUGCCAUUAUGAUGGUGUUGGGGGUUAGGAGCUUUAAGAAUUAUUUAGGUCAUAAGGGUUCCUCCCUAAUGAAUAAGCUAACGUCAUGAUAGCAGGAUUAGGUUCCGUACUGAGGGAGUUGGGUUCACCCACUCUUGCUCAUGCUCUCUCCCCUUCUCUUUGUCCUUCCGCCAAGUGAUGUCCUCUAUUAUGUGAUGAUGCAGCGAUGCCCUAGACAGAUGCUUCCACCUUGACAUUGGAAUUCUCAGCCUCCAGAACCAUGAGACAAUCCAUUUCUAUCUGUUCUAAAGUUCCAGGUCUCUGGUCUUCUGUCACAGCAGUACGAAUGAUACUAUGCAUAUUCCUCCUUUUCAGUCCUCCAUGAGACUAAUUUAGCCACUCAUUUCUAACAGCUUUCAGGUUCUAAGGGAUGUGCUUGCUGCUAUGUUGGGGUUUUCCAGGAAACAAUCCUUGGAAAUGCUGCCAAACUACAGUCGCUUGGAGCUACAUUGUUAGGUGAAGAUUUGCCACAGUGAAAGUGCAUGCAUUCCUGUUCCAAACACCACCAAGUGCCAGUUUCCUGAAAGGAAUCUUCUAGGAAAACCUGUGUUUCCCCCGCUGACAUCCAGAGCCAAAUUUGACAAAAGAUUCAACACUUUCAAAGCCUUUCAAAAAACAACCCAUAAAUUGGUAGCAGGCAUUGAAAAGGAAAAAUCCUCUGGAAGCAAACACU